rnacentral:rRNA from 1 species
UAGUCCACGCCGUAAACGAUGAGAACUAGCCGUCGGGGGCCUAGAGUCCUUGGUGGCGCAGCUAACGCGAUAAGUUCUCCGCCUGGGGAGUACGGCCGCAAGGUUAAAACUCAAAUGAAUUGACGGGGGCCCGCACAAGCGGUGGAGCAUGUUGUUUAAUUCGAUGCAACGCGAAGAACCUUACCACCCCUUGACAUACUCGGAACUUUCUAGAGAUAGAUUGGUGCCUUCGGGAACCGAGAUACAGGUGCUGCAUGGCUGUCGUCAGCUCGUGUCGUGAGAUGUUGGGUUAAGUCCCGUAACGAGCGCAACCCUUGUCCUUAUUUGCCAGCACAUUAUGGUGGGAACUCUAAGGAGACUGACGGUGACAAACCGUAGGAAGGUGGGGACGACGUCAAGUCAUCAUGGCCCUUACGGGGUGGGCUACAAACGUGCUACAAUGGUCGGUACAAAGGGCUGCAAACCAGCGAUGGUAAGCGAAUCCCAAAAAGCCGAUCGUAGUCCGGAUUACAGUCUGCAACUCGA